rnacentral:lncRNA from 1 species
UUUUAUGUCAUCUUUGGAGAAAUGUCUAUUUAGCUCCUUUGUCCAUCUUUUAAUUGGGUUAUAUUUUUCUUGCUAUUGAGUUGUACUAUUUCCUUAUAAAUUUUGGAUAUUAACCCCUUAUCAGAUAUACAGUUUGCAAUUUUUUUCUCAGUCCCAAGGUUACUUUUUAUUUUGUUGAUUGUUUUGUGACUAUGCAGAAGCUUUUUAGUAUGAUGUAGUCCCAUGUCAGUAUCUCCACUUUUGUAGCUUGAGCUUUUGCUGUGACAUCCAGGAUAUCGUUGCUAAGGUCUAUGUCAAGAAGCUUUUGCCCAAUGUAUUUUUCUAGUAGUUUUAUGGUUCCAGUUCUUAUGUUUAGGUAUUUUUAUCUAUUAGGAGUUGAUUUUGUAUAAAGUGUAAGAUAUGAGUCUAUUUUUAGUCUCUUUCAUUCAAAAAUCCAGUUUUACCAGCACCAUUUAUAAGACUAUUCUUUGCCCAUUGUGUCUUCUUGGUGUCCUUGUGAAAAAUUAAUUGCCCAUAUGUGUUUGAAUCUAUUUCUAGGCUUUCUAUUCUGUUCCACUAAUCAGUAUGUUUGUUUAUAUGCACAGCCGAUAUACAUGCUCAAAUGUCCGUGUUCAUUUCCUAUUGCCCUCAAGAGUGAUAGAUGCAGGAAGCAGAUAAGGAAGGGUCCCUGAAGAAUCUCCGACCCGCCCCACAAGUGUUUAUGUUUCAUGUUUUUGUGCAGACUAAUUUCUACCUUCAGCAAAAUGUCUACCAAAGUCAAGUAAUAGGGCCUGAUCUGAAGCCGCAAUGAGUCUUCAGAUGUCAAAUAUGCCCUGAAUGCUGUGAAUGCAGAAGAUGAAAUAAUUAAUAUCAACUGGGAGAGCCAAGGAGCAAUGGGGAGUUGUGAAAAUAUUUUGUCAUAUAAAUAACAUGAAAAUUCUAAACAAGACAGUGAUGCUAACGAUUAAUUGUCAGAGUCUUUUUAAGAUAAGAGUAUCAGUUUGGGAAUAUAAAGAAGUGUGUUGUUGUCAUAAAAGUGGUGACUAAGAAAGUAAAUUCCGUUACUGAAGAAUGCCCACCAAGAAUAAAGAAUUGGAUGCAAAGCAGUAAGAGUUCAUUUGUUUUUGUAAUUCUGUUAUUAUUAACCUAUUAUUUUUUCUUCUGAGCCCAAGCUUGAUACUGUAUCUGAAGCACUGGGAUGGUUUAGUAAUUUAAAAUGUAAAACUUAAUAGAAUAAUACUUUGCUGCAACCUUUAAUUAUAUUUUUACAUUGAGACUUGGUCGAUAUUUGUGUUUAUUUUCUUAACUUCAAACAUAAUUGACAAUCUUCACAAAUGUCACCUUUCUAAAGAAAGGGUCAACAUUUAGCAGUGCAUUACUAGAUUUUUCACACAUAUUCAUUAUUUUGUGGUCUUUAAGUAUUUAAUGUUGAAUAAGAAAUUCAAGCUUUACUUCUACAUGCCCACAUGUCGGAUAGUUAAUAAAUAUGUUUUUCAUUUGAAUUCAUUAAAUUUGUCUGAAGUUUCAGAAACUACUAAUACU